rnacentral:rRNA from 1 species
UACGAAGGGGGCUAGCGUUGUUCGGAAUUACUGGGCGUAAAGCGCACGUAGGCGGAUCGAUAAGUAAGAGGUGAAAUCCCAGAGCUCAACUCUGGAACUGCCUUUUAAACUGUCGAUCUGGAGCAGAGUAGAGGUGAGUGGAAUUCCGAGUGUAGAGGUGAAAUUCGUAGAUAUUCGGAGGAACACCAGUGGCGAAGGCGGCUCACUGGACUCUUGCUGACGCUGAGGUGCGAAAGCGUGGGGAGCAAAC